rnacentral:rRNA from 1 species
GAUGAACGCUGGCGGCGUGCCUAAUACAUGCAAGUCGAGCGAACGGACGAGAAGCUUGCUUCUCUGAUGUUAGCGGCGGACGGGUGAGUAACACGUGGAUAACCUACCUAUAAGACUGGGAUAACUUCGGGAAACCGGAGCUAAUACCGGAUGAUAUUUUGAACCGCAUGGUUCAAAAGUGAAAGACGGUCUUGCUGUCACUUAUAGAUGGAUCCGCGCUGCAUUAGCUAGUUGGUAAGGUAACGGCUUACCAAGGCAACGAUGCAUAGCCGACCUGAGAGGGGGGUCGGCCACACUGGAACUGAGACACGGUCCAGACUCCUACGGGAGGCAGCAGUAGGGAAUCUGCCGCAAUGGGCGAAAGCCUGACGGAGCAACGCCGCGUGAGUGAUGAAGGUCUUCGGAUCGUAAAACUCUGUUAUUAGGGAAGAACAUAUGUGUAAGUAACUGUGCACAUCUUGACGGUACCUAAUCAGAAAGCCACGGCUAACUACGUG